rnacentral:rRNA from 1 species
GGUAUUCCGCAAGGAGUGCUGAUGGAUCUGAGAAGAGCUUAUGCAGGCAUGAGUAGCGAUAAACAGGGUGAGAAACCCUGUCGCCGUAAGCCCAAGGUUUCCUGGGGAAGGAUAAUCCUCCCAUGGGUUAGUCGGUCCCUAAGCUGAGCCCGAAAGGGGUAGGCGAUGGAAAGCAGGUUAAUAUUCCUGCACCAGCUAA